CUCCCAACCAGCCUGCAAGUUGGGCAUGAUUGUCACCUCUUCGCAAAUAAAGAAACCGAGGCUCAGAAAUGGCCAGAGACACAGCUGUGGUCAGUGGCUUCCAGUCCUGGCUCUGUCUCCCGGGACCUGUGUGACCACGGACACUGAGGGCCUCCAAAUGGUACAAGCUUCAAGCCCCACCAAACCUGGAUCUGCCCGGAGGAGUAUUGUCUAAAUGGCAACUAUUUAGCAUAAGUGGUUAAAAGAAAUGGUCAAGGGCUAGAUCACACAGGAUUAGAAGCCUUACUGUGUGACUUUCGCCAAGUUGCUCCACCUCUCUGAGCCUCAAAUUCCUCAGUAUAAAAUGGAGGUAAUGGUGGAGAUGGUAGCACAACGUUUGAAUGUAAUUAACAGCACUGAAUUAUAUACUUGAAUGUGGUUUAAAUGAGAAAUUUUAGGUUGCAUAUAAGUUAUUACAAUAAAAAUUUUUAAAAAAU